rnacentral:rRNA from 1 species
UACGGGGGGUGCAAGCGUUAUCCGGAUUCACUGGGUUUAAAGGGUGCGUAGGUGGGCAAGUAAGUCAGUGGUGAAAUCUCCGGGCUUAACCCGGAAACUGCCAUUGAUACUAUUUGUCUUGAAUACUGUGGAGGUCAGCGGAAUAUGUCAUGUAGCGGUGAAAUGCUUAGAUAUGACAUAGAACACCAAUUGCGAAGGCAGCUGGCUACACAAAUAUUGACACUGAGGCUCGAAAGCGUGGGGAUCAAACAGG